rnacentral:lncRNA from 1 species
AAUUGGGUCAGAAACUACAUUUGUUUCAAAGAUGAUAAUAUCUAAUAUAAAAUCAAAUUCAUCCUCAUUUAAUUUCAUGUCAAAAUAGCAGUUUGACGACGACUAAAAAUUUUCUAAUUCAAACUGCUCAAAAUUUAGAAAAUCCUAAUUUCUCCCCUACAAAUAAGAGUCAAUCUUCGGCAAAAAAACACAACAAAAAACACCAUUUGCUUUCCCAUCUCAAAAAAACACAUUUCUCCUCCUUCUCUUUAGCUAUGAUGAGGAAAGGCUCAAACAAGAAACAUGGUGUUGUUAUCAAUACCGUCACACCGGCACUUGAGCAAUCAAAAAACAUGGUGACUCACAAAGAACUCAACAGGCAAAGGAUGGGUGAAAAAUAUUAAAGUUGAUUUUUUGGAUAGCAUAGAUUUUCUAUUAAAAUUUCUAGACUAUACUCUGUAAUUUCUUGAAUAAUCAUGUUGAAGAAAUAUCAAGAUAUUUAAGGUAAUUUUAGGUAGAAUAAUCUAGAAAAAGAUAGUAUAGUUAUUUGAUAUGUGUAUUUAGAAAAGAUCUAGAUAUUAGAUGGUGCUAGAUAUUUGAGGGAGAUUUUUGUGUAAGAACAUAGAACACUCUAGAUUUGUAGUAUCUAGAAUUAUUCCUACACAAGUAUAAAUAGGGGAUGACAUUAGUUAUUUGUAACCAUCCAAAAAUAAAUCCAAUACAAAGCAUAUUAAGUAGUCUUCUUCUAUAUCUAAGCUCUCUUAGUCAAUAUUUUUCUUCACAUUUUUAGCUUCCUCUUCUUAGUUGAAUCUUUCGAUUUUAGUUAACAAUCUUAGGCUAGCAGAAGAUUUCCUAAAUAUACCUUUCUUUUUCUAUUCUCUACAGGAUGAAGGAGUUGACGGAAUAGCUGCAAAAGCUAAGGAAGGAGAACAAAAUCAUGGAGAUGAUAAUCAAGAUGAAUGAAGUGUUGAAGGGUGUAAAGAUAUAAUCGUUGAUAUGCACGCUGACGAUAGUUAACACUCAAACAAUGGUAUAAAGAGAUAAAAGAGAGGGCUGACAAAUAGGGUUUGACAUCGGAUGCCCCUCAAUCCUUUGCCCUAUAUUGUAAUUUACUAAUGUUCUUAAUCAAUAACGAACUCCAUAUUAAAAAAUUAUAGGUUAAUUAAGGGCAAAAUACAUAGAUAGACCUUUGAAUUUUUUUAAUUUUAUCGCAUUGGCACCUCAAUUAGGCCAUGUAUCUAUUGAACACCUCAACUAUAUUCAAACUAUGUCAAUUGAGCACAAAUUGCGCAAUUUUAAAUUUGAUUCAGAGCGUGAAAUGCACUUUACCAUGACAUGAAAAUUAUAACCAAUGAUAAAAUUUCAAGUCAUCAAAGAAGAAAAAAAAUCAAAAUAAAAAUUAAGAAAAAAAAAAUAUUUUUUGCUUAUUCUUCUUUUUCCUCUAAACUUUUUCUUUCCAGCAUUGAAGCACCACUAACUAAUAGCAUAUACUCAAUUUCUUCUUUCUCUUUCUUCUUCCAUUAUCAUUUUACAUCCAUUCUAAUUUAAUUUUAUUUUUUGCUUCUUUUAAUUUUUCUCUCAUUUUUCAAACACAAUUGUUAGUGAGAAGAAAAAAGAAGACCUCAUUUUCACUCCUUCAUUUUUUCACCAAAACAACACCCAAUAAUCAUUAAA